rnacentral:rRNA from 1 species
AACGAACGCUGGCGGCAGGCUUAACACAUGCAAGUCGAACGCCCCGCAAGUGGAGUGUCCGUCUGGUGAGUAACGCGUGGGAAUCUACCCAUCCCUACGUCAUAACGCAUUGAUACGUGUGCUAAUACCUUAUACGCCCUACGGUGGUAAGACUUAACGGGUAUGGAUGAGCCCGCGUUGGAUUAGCUCGUUGGUCGGUUAAAUGCCUACCAAUGCGACUACCCAUAGCUGGUCUGAGAGGAAGAUCAGACACAUUGAGACUAGGACACGGCCGAAACUCUUACAGGAGGGAGCAGUGGGGGAUAUAGGAAAAUGGGGGCAAGGAUGAAGCAGCCAGGCCGGGUGAGUGAUGAAGGCCUUAGGGAAGUGAAGCUCGUUCACCGGAGAAGAUAAUGACGGUACCCGAAGAAGAAGCACCGGCUAACUUCGUG